GUGACUUCGCGCCGCUGUGUGCGCCUCCCCGAGCGCCGGCUGCGCCCCCCAGCCCGGCCCGGGGCCUACCGCCUGCCCGGCCCCCUGCCACUGCCAGGAGGACGGCAUCAUGCUGUCUGCCGACUGCUCUUGAGCUUGGGCUGUCCGCCAUACCGGGGGACCUGGAUCCCCUGACGGCUUACCUAUUCCAUGUCAGUAGUGGCAAACCUUUACAGGAUUAUGAAUACAAAAUGCCACUGGUCUCCUGAAGAUACAGCAGCAAAAUGAAACAUCCACAAAUAUGACUUAAAUUGAGAAUAUGUGCAUGUCUAUAACUCCACCCUUCACUGUGCUGCGGUUGUUCUCUGGACCACUCCUAUUUCAUCAGUGUUAUUGUCAACCUGAAGAACAAGCAGAAAGAGGCUCUCUGAAAUGAAAUGGAUGCUUAUUUGGGAAGAGAGCAUUGCAACGGGAAUACACAUGCCAUCGUAAAUGACAAGAAUAUUCAGGGAGGACCCCAUCACAUUUGGCUGCCAUAUCUCCUUGGACUCCUCUUGGCUGUGACAGGGUCUCAGACGGCCCUUGCCGUUGAUGACCUUGAUGGUUUGAAGAGCCCUAAUCAGGUGCAUUGCAGGACGCUCCUCAGUUGGGAUUUGUCUGAGGCUUUCCUCGUAAAUAGCCUGGGGUUAUGGGUUUUGGGAGGAAGACCACACAGAUAAAUGCCAUUCUCAUCAUGUCAUAACAAGGGUACACACGCUGCUGACAUGACUCUUCACUGACAGUGGUGGCUGUAGUCGGCUGGCUGAGGUCUCCCCACUGUGAAGUCCCCCUCUCCAUGCUGUACUCUCUGGAAGGACGUCGCCAUGCACAGCCGACACUUAGGGGUAUGGGUUGUGCUCCACUUCCGAGGAGGAGAAGUAGCUACAUGAGUGACUGGGAAAUGUCCUGGGGGGGAUACUCAUCCAUGCCUCCACAUUACUUAUGUACUCAAUCUUUUAUUUAUAUUGCUAUGGACUCAUGGAUACUCAGCCCAUGCUCGGGCUGGACUCCAGUGUGACUUUGCUUCUUUUCCUGCUCAGCUUCUUCGAGGUUGGCCUUGGUGAGCUCCCGUGGUGGGUUCCCAGCUCCUGUGUGCCUCUGACAGGUGCUCAUCACUUGGCUUUUUGGGCAUCUCCUUAAUUUCUGCUACUAAAGAUGCUCCUGGCUUAUCUUCUGCAUGUCCUGCCUUUGCCCUUGAAUCAGUCAAUUCUCCAAGAAGCUCUGGCUCCUUUCCUAGAACAGUGUUAGAAACCAAGAUCUGGGCACUGGUGUGUUCAUUGCUAGUGAGGUGUUGUUGCUUCUAGACUCUCUCAGCUGAUAGAGCAAGGGAAUGUUUAAGCCAUUUAGAACAUAAAUGCAUUCAUUUAAAAACAUGGACUAUGUAUUCACUGUGCCUUGGGCCCCAAGCUGGGUGUUGAGGAUCUUGAGAAAAUAAAUCAAGGAAGCCCAUGGUCUAGGGUAGUGCUGGUGAGGAGAUAACAGACUCUUGAGAUGGCACUAGGGCCAUGGCGGAGACAGACCUGGACACUAGUGGGACCCAGCAAAGACCCACAGCAGCCUGGGGAGGCGGCUUCCAGAGUGCUGCGACUUUGGAACAUGAAUACUCCUGAGGGUUCACAAACGAGCCUGGGGGGUAUUCCAGGACCAGCUGGUAGGGGGGCAAAGGUUGGGUCAUGAACUAUGGGGAAUGCAAGAAUUGCAAGAGGUUGAACAUGCCUGGGGGUGCAGAGACAGAGGCUGAGGUGCAGGGCAGUCUGAGACAUGGUUAGGAGCCUGGGCAUUCUCUUGAGAGACAGGGGAGAAGAAAAUUCAGAUGGAGCGUUCAUUUCAGGAAGGCCACCCUGGGAUCUGGGCAGGAGAUGAAUACCUGGCAGGGUCAGGGAAGGGAAGGUAAUUGAAAGUUUACAAAAACAAAACCCCAUUCACAUUCUUAAAGUAUUCUUCAUAGAGGUACUAUUUCAAUAAACACAUGCUUUAUUUGUAUAUUAUAACAGAUGAAUUUUCUUCACUGGCAAUUUCUAUCUUUAACUGUCAAAUUUAAGCCUUUUCUGUAAUACCCAUGAGCUCUUUUAUUGGGUGGGAUGACCCAGGGUCCAGCCAGGGAUUCUCCUCCACAGAGUGAGAACACGGUGAAGCAUAGCUGGGACUCAGGGCGAGGUGGCGAUUCAGGGGGGUUUCCAGGCAGAAUGGAUCCGUUUAGCUUCGACUGAGUGCACCUGCCCCCAGGAGCGGGUCUCCAGGCAGAAUGGAUCCCUUUAGCUUUGACUAGUGCACCUGCCCCCGGGAGCAUCUGGGGCUGUUAGAGAAGCUGUGGGCAGCCUCCACUCAGCCCAAUCAGAUGGCACACACCCACCUCAUGGGGACCUGUGCACAGCUGGAUGGUCCCAGCUCUGCAGGGAGAGAGGAUUAGACCCUGUGUGGCAUAACGACACCAGUUUCUGGAAAAUGUUGGAGUUCUAGAAGUAUAAUAAAAUAAUUUUUCAAUUAA
rnacentral:lncRNA from 1 species